UUUUGAAAAAAAUACCAUGAUUGCCAAGGUUUCUUAUUUAACAACAAUUUGGUGCCUUGUUCUAUUUAUAAAUGCUUCGGGCACAAGCUGCUUAUUUUGCAUGAAGCCUCUUUUGAUUUGGAUCUAUCAGUUCUGCAUUAAUGGAAAUGGGAAUACUUGGGUAGCUUUGCCAUUUCAAGCUGCGUAAGCUGAAAACUUGUUAUUGGAAUCAUUCAUUUGAUUUGGAAUUUGUAUCCUUUUUUUUCAAAGACUUCCUUAUGAAGACAUGACUCGAAUAGGUGUCAAAAGCUUGUAUAUGUUUAUUUAUUGCUGUCUGGCUCAUUCUGGAUUUGUUACAAUUUUUGGACUUUGCGGAAUUGAUGGAAUGAUACUUUGUUUCUGCAUGUACAUAUCUGUGGCCUAUCAGUGUCUCCAAGAAGAUUUUAAAUUGGCUUUCAAAAACCACACAGCCAGAGGUUUAAAUCUUAGAAGCAGUAACCUGCUCUACAAUGACCUCAAAGAACUUGUAAAACGCCAACAAAAUAUUAUUGAAAUUUUUAAAUCCUUUAAUCGAAUUUGUAAGUAUGUAGUAUUUCUUCAUUUUGCAUUGGCCAGCAUUUUAUUGGGAGUUGUUUUGAUAAAUAUUCGAUUGGCUCCAGGAAUGGCUAAAGUGAUUUAUUUAAAUUACAUAAUUGGUGCAUCAAAUUUAGUUUUCAUAUAUUGUUAUGCUUCUGAAGCUGCUAA